UCUUUUACAAUAGCCUAAAUUUUAAACUCAGAUUUCAAUCUCAACCAUCGAUCAAGUUUGAUCUAAGGGAUGAAAUUAAAUCCUCCCCUCUUUUCUUUCUUAACCUAAAAAGAACCCUCAUCCCUCAUUCCAUCAAAAAGGCCGCCCCUCUCUACUUUCUCUCUCUAAUCUCCCUCUUUUUCGGCGAACACUCUCUUCUCCGGCGACGCAGCGACUACCGUUGUCGCCGACCCCCCCGUCCCUCCAUCGUCCUUCUCCACCGGCGUCAUCCACCAUCAAUGCUCCACCUACCAAUAGCGAACCAGCAGCUGCUGCAGUGGUUCUCCCUCUCCUCUCCAUUGCUGAUAGCCGCCAUCUGCCGGCGAAAGCUAGCCGCUAUUUUCUCUUCUCCUUCGGUGAAGAAACGCCAACAACUGCCAUGCGACACCAAUAACCAAAACCAGCCGCUGCGCCUCCAACCACCACAUCCAACCGCCGACGUCACCACCAAACACCGAAUCCACCGGAGAAGCAGUCAACAGCCACCGCUUUAAGUUCUAAGCAAAUAUUACCGAAAAAUAUAGAAUGUCACGACGGAUUCUCUGAAUCUGUCACAGGUUCAUCUCUCUAUUUAAAUUCAUGCCCAACUUAUCAUUAGACAGAUCGAUUAGUAUAUUUGAAAUAGAUGGAAUUUGGCUAGAUUUAUUGACUGUACAUUUAUUUUAUACUGUUGAAUUGACAUAUGGAAAGAACCCGAAAUAUCAUUAUUAUUUUGAAUCGGGCACUGAAUGGUUCAAGUUUGAUUGUUUUCUUGUUUGUUAAAUUGAGUCCAGUGAACAUGGUGUUCUCGUUGGUGACAUAAUAAGUUUUAUUUAACUAUUUCUGAUAUAUUUGACAUGAAUUUUUUUUCCUUGUGAGAUUCUUUUUUUGGAAAAUUUUCAGGAAAACCCACACCGCUAACCUUUGCCACAGCCUCUACCCUUCGGGUGAGCACUUUGUGGUGAGUACUGUGUGCACACUGGAUAAACCCCGAUGCAGUAGCCUGUAAACCACGGGAUGUAAACCGCACUAGGCAAGUCCUGUGCGAUAGACUCAUGGCUCAAAGGCAUUGAGGGAGGAUUCGAUCCCGGAUAGCUGUGGUGGGCUACCACCCUCCAAACCAGUGAGCCAGUCCCGAAGGAGCCUUAUUUGAUUCUACUGUUGCUCGAUGAGAAUAUGUCAUCGGACUGAUUUUGGUCCAUUUUACCUAUGUGGUUAUGAAAAUUUCAGCAUUUUGAUUAGGAUAGAUUUUACACUUAAUUAUUUAUGGCAAUCAUUGAUUUACCAUUUAUUGAUAAUUAUGUUAGCCCUCAUGUUUAUUGAUCGUCCUUCCUAUGUUAAAGCAUGAUUGGUUCUUUUUUUGGUACGAUUUAUUCGGUUAUUUUGAUUAAUAUGUUGUCCCUCUUUAGUUUAAAUUAUAGUAUUCUAUUAUGGUAAAUUACGUUUUUUUGAUUGAUAUUAUUUCUCCUUAAUUUAACAUGGUACGUGCUUAUUUAUGGUAAAUUCAGUCUUUUAUAUCUUAAUUUGAUUCAAUUAUCUCUCUUAAGGAAAAUGAUAUUGCUAAUUCAUUUUUUUUCUAAACAUUUGUUUCCUUUUAUUGUUGGACUGAUUUAUGGAUGAUUGUUGAAUUAUUCAAAAUUUUCUCUUUAAUUGUUUUACUAGUAUAUUUUCUUUUCCUCCUCAAUUUCUGAAAUUGAUUUUUUUUUAUAUUUUUUCCUUUUAUACCACGGUAUCCCUUCCACUAUAUAAAGAGCCCUCUUUCUCUUAGUUUUGGGCACUGAGAAUUUACAACUGAGUUACCUUCUCUGACUGAAAACUCAAAAUAAAAAAAAAGAAAAUGUGAUUUUAAUUUAUUAUUUUGGCACUCAUCUUUGGAGCAUCAAUCUUGGCAAUUCGUUCUCGGAUUUUGUGCUUCUUGAUUUUUCUUUUUGUUAUUAUUAUCCGUUAUCGUCAAUCGGUAAGUCACUAAUCGAUGCACUUCUUUCUUAUUCCAUAGUAUUUGUGAUUGCAAAACAUUGAAAGCAUGUCUAUAGGAAUUAAUUUCAAAUAACGCUUGCUUAAUAUGCCUUUGUUUUUUUUGUUCCUCUGUUUAAGAUGAUGUGUUGUUUAAGAUUAUGUGUUGGUGUAUUCUAGUGCUCUUUUGUGCUUGCCUUGCUCUUUUGAUUUGUAUCUAAAAGGUAUCAUUAAGUGGUGUUUUGGGGAUCGCAGGAGUAGCUGAGGUAUUUAUAAUGGACUAUAUUUGUUCUUUCUAUUUAUUUUUUAUUUUUUUUAUAUUUGGUUUGUAAUAUUAUUGUUCUAACAUUAUUAUGUUGUAAUAAUAAAUAUUGGGGACUGCUUGGGGGUGGGGAUUUACGUGCUCUAUGAAUAGUAUAGAUAGACAAAACUUAGGUUUUAUGUUCGUUACGUGCUACGUGGAUCAUUUAGGCACACAAAUCUAGGAUUUAUUGACACUUGAAUCAUUUAGAUGCUUAAUCUACGGUUUAUUAAUUAAUCCGCUUAGCAUUAUUGAUUUUAGGAUUUAACUGAAUCCGACAUUCUAAAUUAGAUUUGACACUAAGCAUAUUGAUAUAUUUUGCAUGCUUGCAUAUUAAUUAUUUCCAGUACGUCUAAUAUAAUUUUCAGCAUGUUUAAUAAUAAUUUCCUGUAUGUUUAAUAAUAUUUUCAGCACGUUUAGUAUAAUUUCAGCAUGUUAAUAUAAGGUUAAGCAUUAAGGAAUAAGUCCCCAACAUAUUAAUUUGAAUGUUAGACAUAUUUUCCUACAUACCAAGUCAUUUUCUUAAGCAUGAGAUUUAAGUAUGUCAAUGCGCGUUGAGCAUGUUCACGUUACAUUCUAACAUGUCAAUACAAUAUAUUUUGCAUAUUAAUUCAUUCUCAACACUAAAUGAUGUAUUUUCCGCAUGUUAAUCGGCUUCCUAGUUAAUUUUUUUUUUCAACAUUAUCAUUAGUCUAUAACACAAUAUUGCAUAAUUAAAGGAUAUCAGUUAGACAUGUUUGCCUUUGACAUGCUUCUAUUCACAACACUUUGUUUAACACUUAGAUAUCAUGUCCAUAGGUUUAAUUAUCUUUCACACAAUAAAUUAAUGUUCUCAUGCUUGCUUAGAUAUGUCCUUUUUAUUCUCAUGAAAUUUUACCACAUUAUUAUAAAUGUUUUGGUAGUAACUUUCAGUAAAUAAUUGCGUAACCCCAUAGAUAUCAUCCCUAUAGGUUAACUAAAUAAAAUAAGUAAUUAUUUGCCUUUGCAUGUUAAUCACAUUAAUCAACUUUAAUUAACCAAGAGGGUAACUUGAGACAAUUAUGUGCUAUGUGACCUACUUGUUAUGCGUUUUGAAUCCUAGGUAACAUAGCUUUAUUUUGUUUAGACCACAAAAUCAAAAUAGCAAAGUCCAUUGCCUCUUCGACGAUAGGUCGAACGAUAAGUAUUACUAAAGACGGUAGUUUAUCUUUGUCAUAUAACACCUUUAGAUUUAACAACCAGCCUACGGGUAGUCAUUUGGAAGUAAUGAUCUCCAACAGAUAUUAACGGUAAGACUAAUGACAUUGUCAUUUGUCUAAGAAUUCGGCCAUUGAGUCGGAAAAUGAUUAGACAAGUUGGGGUUCUGAUCCAAAUGAGACCAAAAAUAUUUCGUUGUUUGAUUUGACAAAUUCUUUUUAUUCUUUUAUUUAAUUUACGUGCUUAUUUAUUUGGGGUAGUUAGUUUAUUACAUAAGCAGUCGCCUUUUGUUAUAAAUUAUGUCAUUUUUUUCUCCCAGCUUAUCUUAUUAUAUGUUUUUAUCACUUAGAUAAUCAACAAUUCAAAAUAACAAAAUAACAUGUGUUUGUUUCUUAAUUACUUAAUCACUUAGUUAACAAUUAAGUUAAAAUAAGAGACCUUUAUUUGAUCACGUAGAAUCGUCACGUAGAAUACGAAUUCAGUCGGAAACCACUUUUGUAGACCUCGAAAGGUUCCUAACAUCUUUCUUUCGAGGUAAUUUGAACCCUUACCAAAAUUUCUGGUGAACUAAGACAAUACAACAAAAUAGGUUAGUAGCAGCCUAGAUCGAUGCCCUAACACACCUUAAUUCGUUAGGUGGAGACUCUUCAUAUUCACACCCUUAAAACAAUCCCGAAAAGAGUUUGUCACGUCAAAUUCUGCUUUUCGCGAGAAAAAUGAGGCGUGACACAUGGUCCCUCAGCCUUAUCAGUUUGAACCUAUCAAUCUUAACUGUAAAAUGCAAUAUGUUAUUUGAAUGAUUAAUGCCUAAUCGGUAAUGAAAAAUAUUUACAAAAUCAGUGUACUCUAUGUGUGUUUUCAUGAUAACAUGAUCAAUAUAUAUACCUCCCAUAUAUGAAGUGGUUCCAUCUGGAAGAAGCUUAUUCCUCCGAACCCAUCUGUACUCUAGCCUUUUAUGUUGGUCGGGCAAAAGUUGAUUCACUUUCACUUUCUUUUCUUUUGGGAGUCAUAUUUUAUCUACAAAUAAGAG
rnacentral:lncRNA from 1 species